AUGAGCCGGUGCGCUGCUGCUCUCCAACCCGGUCCGGUCGCACCAGCUCGCCCCCGCCGCACCAUUCCCCUCCCCUCCUCCUCUCCUAACUCGUUUCCUCCGUCGCCGCCGCCUGCGUCCCGGCUGCCGCACCGCCCCGCCGACGCCAUGGUUUUGGAGGACGAAAGCAGCGACGACCUGUCUAGCCUCCCGUACAUGCAUUCUUCCUCCACAGAUGGUCUCAACGAGGUCCCUUUCAGUCUUGAAGAUCCAGAUUACAAGGGGCUUGAGCUGGAUGUGAUGUCUCCAUGUGAGAAGCACGGCAUGGCAUCUGAGAGGCUUGUUGCCUUUGAAGGAACAGACACAGGCAGGCGGUUUUUAGCAUGUGCACAGCCGGCAGGUAGCAAUUGUGGCUUUGUUGAAUGGGUUGAUCACCAGUGGCCAAUGCAUUGUUGA
rnacentral:rRNA from 1 species